rnacentral:rRNA from 1 species
UACAGAGGGUGCGAGCGUUGUUCGGAAUUAUUGGGCGUAAAGGGCGCGUAGGCGGUGCGGUAAGUCACCUGUGAAAUCUCCUGGCUCAACUGGGAGCUUGCAGGCGAAACUGCCGUGCUGGAGUGUGGGAGAGGUGAGUGGAAUUCCCGGUGUAGCGGUGAAAUGCGCAGAUAUCGGGAGGAACACCGGUGGCGAAGGCGGUUCUCUGGGCCUGUUCUGACGCUGAGGAGCGAAAGCGUGGGGAGCAAACAGG